AUUGAACGCUGGCGGCAGGCCUAACACAUGCAAGUCGAAUGGUAACAGGAAACAGCUUGCUGUUUCGCUGACGAGUGGCGGACGGGUGAGUAAUGUCUGGGAAACUGCCUGAUGGAGGGGGAUAACUACUGGAAACGGUAGCUAAUACCGCAUAACGUCGCAAGACCAAAGAGGGGGACCUUCGGGCCUCUUGCCAUCCGAUGUGCCCAGAUGGGAUUAGCUAGUAGGUGGGGUAACGGCUCACCUAGGCGACGAUGCCUAGCUGGUCCGAGAGGAUGACCCGCCAACCUGGAACUGAGACACGGUCCAGACUCCUACGGGAGGCAGCAGUGGGGAAUAUUUCACAAUGGGCGCAAGCCUGAUGCAGCCAUGCCGCGUGUAUGAAGAAGGCCUUCGGGUUGUAAAAUACUUUCAGCGGGGAGGAAGGGAGUAAAGUUAAUACCUUUGCUCAUUGACGUUACCCGCAGAAGAAGCACCGGCUAACUCCGUG
rnacentral:rRNA from 1 species